GCUUACUGCCGAAUAGGCAGCUUAGAAA
rfam:Thiothrix lacustris isolate A8 Ga0073116_1462, whole genome shotgun sequence.